UACGGGGGGGGCAAGCGUUGUUCGGAAUUACUGGGCGUAAAGGGCUCGUAGGCGGCCAACUAAGUCGGACGUGAAAUCCCCAGGCUCAACCUGGGAACUGCGUCUGAUACUGGAUGGCUUGAAUUCGGGAGAGGGAUGCAGAAUUCCAGGUGUAGCGGUGAAAUGCGUAGAUAUCUGGAGGAAUACCGGUGGCGAAGGCGGCAUCCUGGACCGACAUUGACGCUGAGGAGCGAAAGCCAGGGGAGCAAACGGG
rnacentral:rRNA from 1 species